rnacentral:lncRNA from 1 species
UGGCGCCUGGGCGUGGCCUGGGGGAAGGGGCGUGGCCAGGGGGUGGUGGGGGCGGGGUCUCAGUCCAGGUGGGCGCAGGAGGGGCUGCGGUGGCUGCGGCAGGACAGGAGCGCCCUCACCUGGCUGGAGGUCAGCUGCGUCUUCUACUGGUGAGCGGGGGAGACGGGGGUGGUCUUCAUCUGCAUCUUCAUCUUCUUCACCUUCAUCUUCAUGUUCUUCAUCUUCUUCAUCUUCAUCUUCGUCAUUGUCUUCUUCAUCUUCUUCUUCAUCUUCUUUUUCUUCUUUGUCUUCAUCUUCAUCUUCUUCACCUUCAUCUUCAUCUUCAUCUUCUUCAUCUUCUUCAUCUUCUUCAUCUUCAUCUUCGUCAUCGUCUUCUUCACCUUCUUCUUCAUCUUCUUCAUCUUCUUCAUCUUCUCCAUCUUCAUCUUCUUCACCUUCAUCUUCUUCAUCUUCAUCUUCGUCAUUGUCUUCUUCAUGUUCUUCAUCUUCUUCUUCACCUUCAUCUUCAUCUUCUCCAUCUUCAUCUUCUUCACCUUCAUCUUCAUCUUCAUCUUCUACAUCUUCUUCAUCUUCAUCUUCUUCACCUUCAUCUUCUUCAUCUUCAUCUUCGUCAUCGUCUUCUUCAUCUUCAUCUUCAUCUUCUUCAUCUUCAUCUUCUUCUUCUUCUGCAUCUUCAUCUUCGUCAUCGUCUUCUUCAUCUUCAUCUUCAUCUUCUUCAUCUUCUUCAUCUUCUUCAUCUUCAUCUUCAUCUUCUUCAUCUUCAUCUUCUUCAUCUUCUUCACCUUCAUCUUCAUCUUCUUCAUCUUCAUCUUCUUCAUGUUCAUCUUCCUCUUCAUUUUCAUCUUCAUUUUCAUCAUCUUCCACUUUGUCUUCAUCUUCUUCAUCUUCAUCAUCUUCCUCUUUACCUCCAUCUUCAUUUUCAUCUUUAUCAUCUUCAUCUUCAUGUUCCUCAUCUUUGUCUUCAUCAUCUUCAUCAUCUUCAUCUUCAUCUUCACCUUCAUCUUCAUCUUCUUCAUCUUCACCUUCAUCUUCUUCAUCUUCUUCAUCUUUUUCAUCUUCAUCUUCUUAAUCUUCUUCAUUUCCAUCUUUUUCAUCUUCAUCUUUAUCAUCUUCAUCAUCUUCGUCUUCAACUUCAUCUUCCUCAUCUUCGUUUUCAUCUUCAUUAUCAUGCUCCUCAUUUUCUUCAUCUUCACCUUCAUCUUCCUCUUCUUCCUCUUCCUCUUCUUCCUUUUCUUCAUCUUCUUCAUUUUCAUCUUCAUCUUCUUCAUCUUCAUCUUCUUCAUCUUCAUCUUCUUCAUCUUCAUCUUCAUCUUCCUGCCCCAAAAAAAAUCCCCAAAAAAAUCCCAAAAAAUCCCAAAAAAAAUCCUUAAAAAAUCCCCCCAAAAUCCCCCAAAAAUCCAAAAAAAUCCUCAAAAAAUCCUCAAAAAAUCCACAAAAAAUCCAAAAAAAAUCCCCCCAAAAAUUCACAAAAAAUCCAAAAAAAUCCUCAAAAAAUCCACAAAAAAAAUCAUAAAAAAUUCCUUAAAAAGUCCCAAAAAAAUCCCAAAAAAUCCCCAAAAAAUCCCAAAAAAAUCCUAAAAAAAAUCCCAAAAAAUCAUUAAAAAAUCCCCCCAAAAUCCCCAAAAAAUCCAAAAAAAAUCCCAAAAAAAUCCCCAAAAAUCUCCAAAAAAUCCCCAAAAAAUCCUCAAAAAUCCUAAAAAAAUCCUUAAAAAAUCCCCAAAAAAUUCACAAAAAUUCACAAAAAAUCCUCAAAAAAUCACAAAUAAAUCCGAAAAAAAUCUCA